CAGUCUGAAAUGGGAACCGGUGUGUGUAUGAAUGCAUACUGGUGAAAAGUUUGUUGGAAGGAGAUUAUGGCGUGGAAGUUGGUUCAACGGCGCCCUAGUGUGCACCCAAGACUACCGUGGUGGAGUACAGAUGUGAAUUAACCGGAGAAAUGGACGGAUGGACAGAGGGAAAAGGGAUGAAACCGGAGCAGCAGGUGGACCGCCGGCUUUCUAAUUCCAGCCGCCUAAAUAACUUCAGCGUGGACGCCGGCCGCCCAGAGCUUUCUAAUUUCCUCCCCUUGUCGCUUCUCGUUGUGGGUUUUCGUGUCGCCUUAAUCGCCUCUGUGACUGAUGGUGCAAAAACACACUUUCCACAAGCGUUAAUCCCAUAAUCAUCUCCCCGGCGGCCCGCUAGCGCUGAUAGCUUUCAGGUUCUGCUGAUUUAUUCGUGGACGGAGCGAUAUUGCUUUUGGCCCAUUUCUGGGACUCUCCCAGGACGUCGCUUGUCACGGCAGAGGGGAACGUUUGGAGAACGUUUUACAGCCUCCGUAUCGCUGCAAACACAGCAGUAAAGCGCUAAUUAAAUCGUAUUUUUAAAGUUUUUUUAAUUUACUGUAUUAUCACCGGAGUCCGUUUCCUUAUCAGCCGCGGUUUUACGUCUGCUAAUGGUGUUCCCGUUCAGAUUUACUCCCAGGUAAUUAGCAAAUAAUCAGCGUUCCUUCGACUCGUGAGCUGGAACCGGGACAGAGACCAGGCUGUUAUAUGAGACCAGCGUUCCACUAAACACAUCCAUUAAGUUCCUUUAUUGGACUCGGCUCCGUUAUUAAAAAGAAGAAAGACGAUGAUUCACUGUCGGCCAGCAGCAGGAAGACGGUCCGACAGAACGGACUGCUGGGUUCUGUUUGAGGUUUUUAAACACUUUCAGAACAUCUUUUACAGAACGUUUUCCUGCCAUUGAGAAGAACAUUCUAGGAGUUAAAAAAAAAACAACACUGAUAGAACUCUGCAGAACAUCUUGAGAAUAUUUUCAAAAAUGCCACAUCCUGCCAGUCUCUGGUGUUUAUUUGUUUAUUUGUUCAUGGAACCCCAUUAGCUUCCACCGAGGGGGUCGCUAGUCUUCCUGGGGUCCAACCAAGAAAACAUUAAAAUACAUAUAUACAAGAAACAUUACUAAGACACUUAAAAAACAUUUAAAAGGUGUACAAAAACGUUAAAACAUCAUGGCAACAUUACGGCAGAGAUCUCAACAUUUUUUUAAAAGCCUGCAGGGUUGGCACAUUCCUUAGCUUUGAAGGCGUUCCACUGCUGACGUGAUCCUGUUGUUCACAAGCAUUUUAGAACGUCUUUAUAGAACAUUAUCCCACCUUUGAAAAGAACAUUUUGGGAACUGAAAACAUUACUAGAACGCUGCAGAAUGUUCUCGAAACAUUUUAAGAACGCUUCCAAAAACGUUCCUGUGAGGUUAAAAAUGAACUGAGACAGAACGUUUUAGAUUCCGAGGAUGUUUGGAGGACCAUGUCAGAUAAUGUUCCAUGAUAAAGUUCUCAAAACAACAUUUUAGAACAUUUUUAGAGAACAUUAUCCCACCAGUAUAAAGAACAUUCUGGGAGCUAAAAAAUGCUGCUGGAACUCUGUAGAAUGUUUUGAGAAUAUUUUCAGAAAUGCAACGAACAGCCAGUCUCUCGUGUUAUCACAAACAUUUUUAGAACGUCUUUAGAGAACGCUGAAAAAAAAUCCUGCUGUAGAAACCAAAUGUGACGACCAAAAGUAGAACAAUCUCUGAGGUUCUGAAUCAUUGGGUUAAACUCGCCUUUAUGGAGGAACAAAUGUUUGUUAAUUUCCUUGUUGUCUAUAAAAGAUGCUGCAGUUGUUUCCCUUUGUGACAGAUUCAUAAAAAGCAGAAGAACAUUUGUUUGUUAUUUCUUCACAGAACACUGCUGGUUGGUUUUUGUGUUCUUUCAGUUCCGUGUCUGCAGUGAGGUUAUUUUCACUGAAACUCAACAGUUCAGCAGAAAACUCCUAAGCUCUUUGGUUCUCGCUGUCGAGGGAGAUCCUUCGGUCACGUCUGAAUUUCACAUCGGCGGUUCCCUGCAGCCAAGCGUGAAGGGAGAACAGAGAGAUUAAAUAAUGCAGCAGACGAGACAACAGCACAAACAAAUAUCAUGAAAAGAGCGCAAUAACUCCGUCUGGUUCUCUCGGUUCUCGUUCUUCGCUCCAGUCUUGUUAUCGUGGGCCAGUAAAAGGAAAAUAGAAGCUGAGAGAUGAAACGUUUCCAGAACGAACUAACAAGCAGCAACAGACAGACGGUUCUGUGAGAUUCAAACUGAAUCCAAAGAAAAAACUACUUCACUGUUCAGGAACAUCAAGAACAAGAGAACCUUUUCAUUUUGUUGUUCUUUUCAGAUUCAUUCGAGUGUUUGUGUCUGCACCUCAAACAUCGAUUAACAAGAAAGAGAAUUAAGCUGCUGAGUGAGUUUGUUCCUUUGUUAGAAUGUUCUAGUAGAAGAACGUUCUCCAAUGGGUUCCCUCAACAACAUCCCCAAAACGUCAUCAGAGCAUUUCAGCCAGAACGUUCCACCUUUAUAAGAUGUUCCUGUGCUGCAGUAUAUUAACAGAAAGUGUUUGGUCAUCUGAGGUGAAAAUGUUUUCAGAAUGUUGCAUUGAGAAUGUCCCUUUUUGAGAACGUUCCAUCACGUGUUCAUUCAACAACAAGGCAAAGUGUUCUACCUUUAGUGGUCAUAUUAAAGGAACACGAUAAAAUGUCAUUCCAUUGGCCCAUUGCAUUCCAAAGGAUGUUUUACAACUGUUACUGUUCAAGAGGGUUCUUCCAUUGUUAUCAAGGAACAUUGUGAGAAUGUUUUGCAGAAGAACGUUCUUGAAAGGGUUCUUUCCACAACGUCCUCAAAACGUCAUCAGAACACUGCAGCCAGAAUGUUCCACCUUUGUAAGAUGUUCUCGUGCUGCAGUAUAUUAACAAAGAACGUUUUGUCACGUGAGGUCUUCAUAACAUUGUGAAAAUGUUUUCAGAAUGUUGCACUGAGAACAUCCUUUUACUAGAAUGUUCCAUCACAUUCCCUGAACAAGACAAAAUGUUCUACUCUACUGCUAAAAGUGUCACAUUAAGCAAACAUGAUAAAAUGUUCUGUCUAACAAAGAAAACUAUUUCCAAGUGUU